rnacentral:sRNA from 1 species
CAGCCGACACCCCCUACCUCCCAUUCCGACUCCCUCCCUCUAAACCUUCCCUCACCCAGAGUUGCAGGACCAGGCCCAGCGCAGCCGCUGUGUGCGUGACUUGGUGCGCUCGCUGCCCGCCCCCAACCACGACACUCUGAGGAUGCUCUUCCAGCAUCUCUGCCGGGUGAUCGAGCACGGCGAGCAGAACCGCAUGUCGGUGCAGAGCGUGGCCAUUGUGUUCGGGCCCACGCUGCUGCGGCCCGAGGUGGAAGAGACCAGCAUGCCCAUGACCAUGGUGUUCCAGAACCAGGUGGUGGAGCUCAUCCUGCAGCAGUGCGCGGACAUCUUCCCGCCGCACUGACUGCUGGCCUGUGACUGGGGCGGCGGCCG